rnacentral:rRNA from 1 species
AGACGACGAGGUAGAUAGGUCAGAGGUGGAAGUGCAGUAAUGCAUGGAGCUGACUGAUACUAAUCGGUCGAGGGCUUGACCAA